GAUGAACGCUGGCGGCGUGCCUAAUACAUGCAAGUCGAGCGAACAGAUGAGGAGCUUGCUCCUCUGACGUUAGCGGCGGACGGGUGAGUAACACGUGGAUAACCUACCUAUAAGACUGGGAUAACUUCGGGAAACCGGAGCCAAUACCGGAUAAUAUAUUGAACCGCAUGGUUCAAUAGUGAAAGACGGUUUUGCUGUCACUUAUAGAUGGAUCCGCGCCGCAUUAGCUAGUUGGUAAGGUAACGGCUUACCAAGGCAAUGAUGCGUAGCCGACCUGAGAGGGUGAUCGGCCACACUGGAACUGAGACACGGUCCAGACUCCUACGGGAGGCAGCAGUAGGGAAUCUGCCGCAAUGGGCGAAAGCCUGACGGAGCAACGCCGCGUGAGUGAUGAAGGUCUUCGGAUCGUAAAACUCUGUUAUUAGGGAAGAACAAAUGUGUAAGUAACUAUGCACGUCUUGACGGUACCUAAUCAGAAAGCCACGGCUAACUACGU
rnacentral:rRNA from 1 species